GGAGAGGUGGCAGAGUGGUUGAAUGCGGCGGUCUUGAAAACCGUUGUGCCUUCACGGGCACCGGGGGUUCGAAUCCCUCCCUCUCCGCCA
rnacentral:tRNA from 1 species